CCCGAGUGGUCUAAGGGGUUACGUUCAGGUCGUAAUGUUUUCGAACGCGUGGGUUCAAAUCCCAC
rnacentral:tRNA from 1 species